UACGAAGGGUGCAAGCGUUAAUCGGAAUUACUGGGCGUAAAGCGUGCGUAGGCGGUUCUUUUAAGUCUGCUGUGAAAUCCCCGGGCUCAACCUGGGAAUGGCAGUGGAUACUGGACGGCUAGAAUGCGGUAGAGGGUAGUGGAAUUCCCGGUGUAGCAGUGAAAUGCGUAGAUAUCAGGAGGAACACCUGUGGUGUAGACGGCUUUCUGGACCAUAGCUGACGCUGAGACACGAAAGCGUGGGUAGCAAACAGG
rnacentral:rRNA from 1 species